GAUGAACGCUGGCGGCGUGCCUAAUACAUGCAAGUCGAGCGAACUUACGAGAAUCUUGCUUCUCUGAUGUUAGCGUCGGAUGGGUGAGUAACACUUGGAUAACCUACCUAUAAGACUUGGUUAACUUCGGGAAACCGGAGCUAAUACCGUAUUAUCUUUUGCACCGUAUGGUUCAAAAGUAAAAGACGGUCUUGCUGUCACUUCUAUAUUGUUCCGCGCUGCAUUAGCUAGUUGGUAAGGUAACUGCUUACUAAGGCAACGAUGCAUAGCCAACCUGAAAGGCUGAUAGUGUAAACUGGAGCGGAAACACGGUCAAGAAACCUAGGAGAGGCGGCAGUAGGGUAACUUCCGCAAUAGGCGAAAGCAUGACGGAGAAACGCCGCGUGAGUGAUGAAGGUCUUAGGAUCGUAAAAAUAUGUUAUUAGGGAAGAACAUAUGUGUAAGUACCUGUGCACAUCUUGACGGUAACUAAGCAGAAAGCCACGGCUAACUAAGUG
rnacentral:rRNA from 1 species